GUGCCAGCAGCCGCGGUAAUACGUAGGGGGUGAGCGUUGUCCGGAAUUAUUGGGCGUAAAGCGCGCGCAGGCGGUCCUUUAAGUCUGAUGUGAAAGCCCACGGCUUAACCGUGGAGGGUCAUUGGAAACUGGGGGGACUUGAGUGCAGAAGAGGAGAGUGGAAUUCCAUGUGGAGCGGUGAAAUGCGUAGAGAUAUGGAGGAACACCAGUGGCGAAAGGCGACUCUCUGGUCUGUAACUGACGCUGAGGCGCGAAAGCGUGGGGAGCGAACAGGAUUAGAUACCCUGGUAGUCC
rnacentral:rRNA from 1 species